GACGAACGCUGGCGGCGUGCUUAACACAUGCAAGUCGAACGGAAAGGCCCUGCUUUUGUGGGGUGCUCGAGUGGCGAACGGGUGAGUAACACGUGAGUAACCUGCCCUUGACUUUGGGAUAACUUCAGGAAACUGGGGCUAAUACCGGAUAGGAGCUCCUGCUGCAUGGUGGGGGUUGGAAAGUUUCGGCGGUUGGGGAUGGACUCGCGGCUUAUCAGCUUGUUGGUGGGGUAGUGGCUUACCAAGGCUUUGACGGGUAGCCGGCCUGAGAGGGUGACCGGCGACAUUGGGACUGAGAGACGGCCCAGACUCGUACGGGAGGCAGCAGGGGGGAAUAUGGCAGAAUGGGCGGAAGCCUGAGGCAGCAACGCCGCGUGCGGGAUGACGGCCUUCGGGUUGUAAACCGCUUUCGACGGUGACGAAGCGUGAGUGACGGUAAUGGGUAAAGAAGCACCGGCUAACUACGUG
rnacentral:rRNA from 1 species